ACGAACGCUGGCGGCGUGCCUAAUACAUGCAAGUAGAACGCUGAAGGAGGAGCUUGCUUCUCUGGAUGAGUUGCGAACGGGUGAGUAACGCGUAGGUAACCUGCCUGGUAGCGGGGGAUAACUAUUGGAAACGAUAGCUAAUACCGCAUAAUAGUAGAUGUUGCAUGACAUUUGCUUAAAAGGUGCAAUUGCAUCACUAUCAGAUGGACCUGCGUUGUAUUAGCUAGUUGGUGGGGUAACGGCUCACCAAGGCGACGAUACAUAGCCGACCUGAGAGGGUGAUCGGCCACACUGGGACUGAGACACGGCCCAGACUCCUACGGGAGGCAGCAGUAGGGAAUCUUCGGCAAUGGACGGAAGUCUGACCGAGCAACGCCGCGUGAGUGAAGAAGGUUUUCGGAUCGUAAAGCUCUGUUGUAAGAGAAGAACGAGUGUGAGAGUGGAAAGUUCACACUGUGACGGUAUCUUACCAGAAAGGGACGGCUAACUACGUG
rnacentral:rRNA from 1 species